rnacentral:rRNA from 1 species
UACGUAGGGGGCAAGCGUUGUCCGGAAUCAUUGGGCGUAAAGAGCGUGUAGGCGGCCCGGUAAGUCCGCUGUGAAAGUCCAGGGCUCAACCCUGGGAUGCCGGUGGAUACUGUCGGGCUCGAGUCCGGAAGAGGAGUGUGGAAUUCCUGGUGUAGCGGUGAAAUGCGCAGAUAUCAGGAGGAACACCGGUGGCGAAGGCGGGUCUCUGGGCCGAUACUGACGCUGAGGAGCGAAAGCAUGGGGAGCGAACAGG